UUGAACGCUGGCGGUAUGCUUAACACAUGCAAGUCGAACGGAAACGAUACUAGCUUGCUAGUAGGCGUCGAGUGGCGGACGGGUGAGUAACGCGUAGGAAUCUGCCUGAUAGUGGGGGAUAGCCCGAAGAAAUUCGGAUUAAUACCGCAUAAUCUAUUCGUAGUAAAGUGGGGGACUUUCGAGCCUCACGCUAUCAGAUGAGCCUGCGUAAGAUUAGCUUGUUGGUAGGGUAAAAGCCUACCAAGGCGACGAUCUUUAGCUGGUCUGAGAGGAUGAUCAGCCACAUCGGGACUGAGACACGGCCCGAACUCCUACGGGAGGCAGCAGUGGGGAAUAUUGGACAAUGGGGGCAACCCUGAUCCAGCAAUACCGCGUGUGUGAAGAAGGCCUGAGGGUUGUAAAGCACUUUCAAUUGUGAAGAAAAGUUAGCGGUUAAUAACCGUUAGCCUUGACGUUAACUUUAGAAGAAGCACCGGCUAACGCCGUGCCAGCAGCCGCGGUAAUACGGAGGGUGCAAGCGUUAAUCGGAAUUACUGGGCGUAAAGCGUGCGUAGGCGGUUUAUUAAGUCAGAUGUGAAAGCCCCGGGCUUAACCUGGGAACUGCAUUUGAAACUGGUCAACUAGAGUAUGGUAGAGGAAAGUGGAAUUUCUGGUGUAGCGGUGAAAUGCGUAGAUAUCAGAAGGAACAUCAAUGGCGAAGGCAGCUUUCUGGACCAAUACUGACGCUGAGGUACGAAAGCGUGGGUAGCAAACAGGAUUAGAUACCCUGGUAGUCCACGCCGUAAACGAUGAUAACUAGCCGUUGGGGGGAUUUACCCUUUAGUGGCGAAGCUAACGCGUUAAGUUAUCCGCCUGGGGAGUACGGCCGCAAGGUUAAAACUCAAAGGAAUUGACGGGGACCCGCACAAGCGGUGGAGCAUGUGGUUUAAUUCGAUGCAACGCGAAGAACCUUACCUGGUCUUGACAUCCUGCGAACUUUCUAGAAAUAGAUUGGUGCCUUCGGGAACGCAGUGACAGGUGCUGCAUGGCUGUCGUCAGCUCGUGUCGUGAGAUGUUGGGUUAAGUCCCGUAACGAGCGCAACCCCUAUCCUUAUUUGCCAGCACAUCAUGGUGGGAACUAUAAGGAGACUGCCGGUGAUAAACCGGAGGAAGGCGGGGACGACGUCAAGUCAUCAUGGCCCUUACGACCAGGGCUACACACGUGCUACAAUGGGAAGGACAAAGAGCCGCGAAGCCGCGAGGUGUAGCUAAUCUCAUAAACCUUUUCGUAGUCCGGAUUGGAGUCUGCAACUCGACUCCAUGAAGUCGGAAUCGCUAGUAAUCGUAGAUCAGAAUGCUACGGUGAAUACGUUCCCGGGUCUUGUACACACCGCCCGUCAAGGG
rnacentral:rRNA from 1 species